rnacentral:rRNA from 1 species
AUUGAACGCUGGCGGCAUGCUUUACACAUGCAAGUCGAACGGCAGCGCGGGCUUCGGCCUGGCGGCGAGUGGCGAACGGGCGAGUAAUGCAUCGGAACGUGCCCAGUAGUGGGGGAUAGCACGACGAAAGCCGGAUUAAUACCGCAUACGACCUGAGGGUGAAAGCGGGGGACCGAAAGGCCUCGCGCUAUUGGCGCGGCCGAUGUCGGAUUAGCUAGUUGGUGGGGUAAAGGCUUACCAAGGCGACGAUCCGUAGCUGGUCUGAGAGGACGACCAGCCACACUGGAACUGAGACACGGCCCAGACUCCUACGGGAGGCAGCAGUGGGGAAUUUUGGACAAUGGGGGAAAGCCUGAUCCAGCCAUGCCGCGUGCGGGAAGAAGGUCUUCGGGUUGUAAACCGCUUUUGUUCGGGAAGAAAUCCUCUGGGCUAAUACCCCGGGGUGAUGACGGUACCGGAAGAAUAAGCACCGGCUAACUACGUG